rnacentral:rRNA from 1 species
CCUACGGGUGGCAGCAGUGAGGAAUAUUGGUCAAUGGGCGCGAGCCUGAACCAGCCAAGUCGCGUGAGGGAAGACGGUCCUAUGGAUUGUAAACCUCUUUUGUCGGGGAGCAAAAGACGCCACGCGUGGCGUUUCGAGAGUAGCCGAAGAAAAACCAUCGGCUAACUCCGUGCCAGCAGCCGCGGUAAUACGGAGGAUGCCAGCGUUAUCCGGAUUUAUUGGGUUUAAAGGGAGCGUAGUUGGAUUGUUAAGUCAGUUGUGAAAGUUUGCGGCUCAACCGUAAAAUUGCAGUUGAAACUGGCAGUCGUGAGUACAGUAGAGGUGGGCGGAAUUCGUGGUGUAGCGGUGAAAUGCUUAGAUAUCACGAAGAACUCCGAUUGCGAAGGCAGUUCACUGGACUGCAACUGACACUGAGGCUCGAAAGUGUGGGUAUCAAACAGGAUUAGAUACCCCGGUAGUC